rnacentral:rRNA from 1 species
UACGGAGGGUGCAAGCGUUAUCCGGAUUCACUGGGUUUAAAGGGUGCGUAGGUGGGCAGGUAAGUCCGUGGUGAAAUCUCUGAGCUUAACUCAGAAACUGCCGUGGAUACUAUUUGUCUUGAAUGUUGUGGAGGUGAGCGGAAUAUGUCAUGUAGCGGUGAAAUGCAUAGAUAUUAUCAAGAACACCGAUUGCGAAGGCAGCUUACUAAGGAGUUACUGACACUGAGGCACGAAAGCGUGGGGAUCAAACAGG